rnacentral:rRNA from 1 species
GACGAACGCUGGCGGCGUGCUUAAUACAUGCAAGUCAACUUGACUUUAGAUAGCAAUAUCGAAAAGUAGGGUGGCGCACGGGUGCGUAACGCGUAGGUAAUCUGCCCUGAGGUCUGACGUAACCCGUCGAAAGGCGGGCUAACAUCAGAUGAUAUAUAAUCACGACAUCGUGGAAAUAUCAAAUCUUCGGAGCCUUGGGAUGAGCCUGCGUCUGAUUAGGUAGUUGGCGGAGUAAUAGCCCACCAAGCCUACGAUCAGUAGCUGGUCUGAGAGGAUGAUCAGCCACACUGGAACUGAGACACGGUCCAGACUCCUACGGGAGGCAGCAGUAAGGAAUAUUGCUCAAUGGGGGAAACCCUGAAGCAGCAACGCCGCGUGAAGGAUGAAAUACUUUUGUAUGUAAACUUCUGUAAGAUGGGAAAAUAUUCUCCUCGGGAGAAUUGAUUGUACCAUCAGAGUAAGCCCCGGCUAACUACGUGCCAGCAGCCGACGG